GAUGAACGCUGGCGGCGUGCCUAAUACAUGCAAGUCGAGCGAACAGACGAGGAGCUUGCUCCUCUGACGUUAGCGGCGGACGGGUGAGUAACACGUGGAUAACCUACCUAUAAGACUGGGAUAACUUCGUGAAACCGGAGCUAAUACCGGAUAAUAUAUUGAACCGCAUGGUUCAAUAGUGAAAGACGGUUUUGCUGUCACUUAUAGAUGAAUCCGCGCCGCAUUAGCUAGUUGGUAAGGUAACGGCUUACCAAGGCAACGAUGCGUAGCCGACCUGAGAGGGUGAUCGGCCACACUGGAACUGAGACACGGUCCAGACUCCUACGGGAGGCAGCAGUAGGGAAUAUUCCGCAAUGGGCGAAAGCUUGACGGAGCAACGCCGCGUGAGUGAUGAAGGUCUUCGGAUCGUAAAACUCUGUUAUUAGGGAAGAACAAAUGUGUAAGUAACUAUGCACGUCUUGACGGUACCUAAUCAGAAAGCCACGGCUAACUACGUG
rnacentral:rRNA from 1 species